rnacentral:lncRNA from 1 species
CUCAUAGUGAAGUUUGCAUGCCUCAUGGAGAUGAGCCUUUUUUUGGUUGAUUCACAUAUUUGAUUAUUUUUAUUUUAUUUCUUUUUUCUUCUUGUUGUGACGUAUAGUAUCGAAAAGAUCCUGGAGGUGGUGUCCUGGCCAGACAUCCGCCAACAAAUAGUAUCAGAGUGAGGCGGUACUAGGAUGCAGAUUGCAGCAGUGGUGAGCAAGAUUGAAGUUGGAGA